rnacentral:lncRNA from 1 species
AAUCACCAGGGGAUCUCAUACAAAACUCACACGCCGCAUGCUAGCCUGGAGACACAGGCAGGAGGGGAGGGGGGGCGACAACUAUAUUUCUCCCAGUUCUUUUCUGUUGUUUCUUCACACAGUCCUGGUGCUGGAUUAACUUUAGUCCUGCCAGCUUCUGACGGAUGGGAAGAAGAAAAUGCAGCAAGAAAACUAGUUCGAGAUCUUGAGCCCCUUCCCCCACCCCUGACAGGAGGCCUUCGGUAUAACAGUAAUGGCCACAGCAGCCACAGGGCAUUGCUUCCCGGGAGCCUGACGAAGGCUUUACCUAAAGUGCCUUCUCUACUCUGCCUGACAACCUGCUUUACAGUUGCAAAACUGAGUCUCACAGAAGUCGGGUGAGUAUACCCAGAGCUG